GACGAACGCUGGCGGCGUGCCUAAUACAUGCAAGUAGAACGCUGAAGGAGGAGCUUGCUUCUCCGGAUGAGUUGCGAACGGGUGAGUAACGCGUAGGUAACCUGCCUGGUAGCGGGGGAUAACUAUUGGAAACGAUAGCUAAUACCGCAUAAGAGUAGAUGUCGCAUGACAUUUGCUUAAAAGGUGCAACUGCACCACUACCAGAUGGACCUGCGUUGUAUUAGCUAGUUGGUGAGGUAACGGCUCACCAAGGCAACGAUACAUAGCCGACCUGAGAGGGUGAUCGGCCACACUGGGAAUGAGACACGGCCCAGACUCCUACGGGAGGCAGCAGUAGGGAAUCUUCGGCAAUGGACGGAAGUCUGACCGAGCAACGCCGCGUGAGUGAAGAAGGUUUUCGGAUCGUAAAGCUCUGUUGUAAGAGAAGAACGAGUGUGAGAGUGGAAAGUUCACACUGUGACGGUAUCUUACCAGAAAGGGACGGCUAACUACGUG
rnacentral:rRNA from 1 species